rnacentral:rRNA from 1 species
GUCUACAGCCAUGCCACCCUGAACGAGCCCGGAAGCUAAGCAGGGUCGGGCCUGGUUAGUACUUGGAUGGGAGACCACCUAGGAAGACCAGGUGUUGUAGGCG